UUAAAUUGAAGAGUUUGAUCAUGGCUCAGAUUGAACGCUGGCGGCAGGCCUAACACAUGCAAGUCGAACGGUAACAGGAAGCAGCUUGCUGCUUCGCUGACGAGUGGAGG
rnacentral:rRNA from 1 species